rnacentral:rRNA from 1 species
UACGGAGGAUGCGAGCGUUAUCCGGAUUUAUUGGGUUUAAAGGGUGCGCAGGCGGUCUGUUAAGUCAGCGGUCAAAGCCCGGGGCUCAACCCCGGCCCGCCGUUGAAACUGGCAGUCUCGAGUUGGAGAGAAGUAUGCGGAAUGCGCGGUGUGGCGGUGAAAUGCAUAGAUAUCGCGCAGAACUCCGAUUGCGAAGGCAGCAUGCCGGCUCCACACUGACGCUGAGGCACGAAAGCGUGGGUAUCGAACAGG